UAUUAACCCAAGGGUAAUGGAUUCAUAGA
rnacentral:piRNA from 1 species